rnacentral:rRNA from 1 species
UACGGGGGGGGCAAGCGUUGUUCGGAAUUACUGGGCGUAAAGGGCUCGUAGGCGGCCAACUAAGUCAGACGUGAAAUCCCUCGGCUUAACCGGGGAACUGCAUCUGAUACUGGAUGGCUUGAGUUCGGGAGAGGGAUGCGGAAUUCCAGGUGUAGCGGUGAAAUGCGUAGAUAUUCGCAAGAACACCAGUGGCGAAGGCGGCUCACUGGCCCAUAACUGACGCUGAGGCACGAAAGCGUGGGGAGCAAACAGG